AAAGUCAUCAAAAUGUCUUGAAGGGUUACUCACCAAAAUGUGAAUUUCUGUGAAUUUAAAGUGAAUUUUAAAAUUUAGUUCAUAAUAGUCGAACUGCAAACAUGACUGUUCUGGGAGAAGUUUUCCAGUUUUUCUGGUUUAAACUAACUCUGAAAUUCACUCGGAUCCCUUUCUUUACAUAGUUACAUAGUUACAUGGUUACAUAGUUACAUAGUUACAUAGUUACAGUGUCCAUCAAGUUCAGCC